rnacentral:rRNA from 1 species
UUUUAUGGAGAGUUUGAUCCUGGCUCAGGAUGAACGCUGGCGGCGUGCCUAAUACAUGCAAGUCGAGCGAACAGACGAGGAGCUUGCUCCUCUGACGUUAGCGGCGGACGGGUGAGUAACACGUGGAUAACCUACCUAUAAGACUGGGAUAACUUCGGGAAACCGGAGCUAAUACCGGAUAAUAUAUUGAACCGCAUGGUUCAAUAGUGAAAGACGGUUUCGCUGUCACUGAUAGAUGGAUCCGCGCCGCAUUAGCUAGUUGGUAAGGUAACGGCUUACCAAGGCAACGAUGCGUAGCCGACCUGAGAGGGUGAUCGGCCACACUGGAACUGAGACACGGUCCAGACUCCUACGGGAGGCAGCAGUAGGGAAUCUUCCGCAAUGGGCGAAAGCCUGACGGAGCAACGCCGCGUGAGUGAUGAAGGUCUUCGGAUCGUAAAACUCUGUUAUUAGGGAAGAACAAAUGUGUAAGUAACUAUGCACGUCUUGACGGUACCUAAUCAGAAAGCCACGGCUAACUACGUGCCAGCAGCCGCGGUAAUACGUAGGUGGCAAGCGUUAUCCGGAAUUAUUGGGCGUAAAGCGCGCGUAGGCGGUUUUUUAAGUCUGAUGUGAAAGCCCACGGCUCAACCGUGGAGGGUCAUUGGAAACUGGAAAACUUGAGUGCAGAAGAGGAAAGUGGAAUUCCAUGUGUAGCGGUGAAAUGCGCAGAGAUAUGGAGGAACACCAGUGGCGAAGGCGACUUUCUGGUCUGUAACUGACGCUGAUGUGCGAAAGCGUGGGGAUCAAACAGGAUUAGAUACCCUGGUAGUCCACGCCGUAAACGAUGAGUGCUAAGUGUUAGG